GCCACGACACUCCCUCAGCUCCCCAUUCUCCCCGGGACUCUAGAUCUGACUCAAAAACUUCCCCUCAGCUCAUGUCUGACUCAACUCAGCUUCCUGGUGACAGAACAACAUCACCAUCCUCACCGUUUCUCCCUUUGGAUCUCAGCUAUAGCAGACACGGAGGCCACGGACAAGACCGGAUCCUCUCCAUCUCUCCUGAACCCUCUUUAGCCUUCAUCAACGUGAUGAAUAGACCAGCAGCUCCCCUUUUGGUUUGAGGACCAUCACCUAUAGUGGAGGAUCUUCCUUCCUCUCUCGGGGUCACCAGCUCCUUUGCUUCAUCAUCUCCUCGAGCUCGCUCUCACCUCAGAUGCCCCCUCAUGUAGAGCUAAGUGCCGCUGUCACACUUCUCUUGUUCUCUUUGGCUCUCCUGCCCUCUUCGUUCUCCGUCUCCAGCUCUUUUUGUCUUCCUUGCAGCACACCGGAAUCACGAUGGCCGACGUCAAGCUCCUCGUCUGUGACCACUUCUCCUGCUACACUUCAUCAACAUUACCAUGCUCACUCUCAGCUCUCUUCCUCUCCAUCGCCACAACCUCGGCAACAACCAGCUCCUUCCCGGUGAUUCUCAUAGCCCAAUGAAUUCUCUAAGCUCUAAUGCGGUAUUUUGUUCCAAUGAAUGGUUCUAGAUGAUAUGGCCCGAUCUUGCUUGUUAUAAGUUGUAUUUUGAGGUUCAAUUGAGUUGCAUGUUAGUUGUUUGGUCAAGAUAAGGAUUUUUAGCAUGAUUUUGGUGACUUAAGAUUAUGCUUGAGGUAUGGGCUGAGCUGUGUGUCAAUUAUUUGUCCAAUUCAUGAUAAUUUCCCGUGGUCUUAAGGGCUCAUUGCUGUGCCUGAACAUGUGGCUGAGCUGAAUGUCGAACCUCCCAUUAAUUUGGGAAUGCUUUGAUCGAAAUUGAUGUCUUAUCGGUGGUAUUUGAUUAUGAGCUGAAUGGGAUGAUGGUUUUUAUGAUACUAGCUGAAUUGUUUGGUGAAUUUUAUUCGAUUUGAAAUGCUUUACAUGAAUUUGAUAAUUUAUUACCAUGUCCAAAUGUGCGGCUCAAUCGAAUGAAUGCAAGGAAAGAGAAUUGAUGGUUUGAGGAUGGAUGAUAAACGGUGGAAGACCAUUCACAUGAUUGAUGUCAGGAUGGAGUCUUUGCAUUUGAUUAGUUAAUCAUGUCUUCGUCUUGAUUCUUUCGGCCAUAGAUAUAAACCAGGAACGACCAUGGAGAGUUUUGUAGGUUCAUUUCUUGUCGUUGUAGACUCCUUGAAGCCGAUUUAUUGCGCACCUACUCGCUGAUGUGUCUUGGUUUGGUUCUUUAGUGCCUUGCUUCGAUUGCUCUUAGGUCAUAGGAUGAGUUAUUCUUACCCAUAAACGCCUUCAGAUUGCUUCCUUGCGAGUUUCUCGUCGUUUUGUUCCUGUCAAGUCAAAAUAUGUUGUUUAGAAGUUCUGGACAGCAAUGUUUCAUGAGCAUUAGGAGCUUAUUUUGAUCACUCUCACGUUAAAGGGCGAGUUCUUCUUAUGCGUAGAUGCCUUAGGAUCGAUCCUUUCAUAUCUCAUGCCGUUUCGGACUUCUUAAACCCAAAUUAAGAUACUUUGAAGUCAUUAUUUGAAUCAAAUUGAUGUAAUGGAGCUCAUCUUGUUCAUCUUAUCUCUAUUGAUCUUGUUCAUGGUUUGUAUAUUUGCCUUUGUCCCGGUUCUCCACUUUUUGUUCUUUGUCUUGCAUGGCAUUUCGAACCUUGGAGGAGAAGAUGAGUAAAGAGGAGGCACAAGAAGAUGGACGACCCCAAUGUGGCUCGAAAACGACGUGGAGACUUACCUAGGCUUAGGUUGAGUCCCGACUUGAAGACCGCCUCGGUCCGCGGUAGUCAAGAAUCUUCCAAGCUAGCUCAUCCUGAGAAUCUCUUGGGAUCAGUAAGAGAUGGUGCGCUCGGUCUCCUUUCCACACCUCGACAGGGUCACGCCACCACUCGAGGAAAUCAGUCACAUCUGGGCUCAUCUACGUCAAGUCGACCGCAAUUACAUCAGGACCUUUGUUGGGGAUAUACCAAUGCUAGCAAUGUGCCGAGUGGAUUGGAACUUCUUGGGAGCAGCGGUGACGUUUUGGGGCCCAGUCCACGCCGUUUUCAACAUCCAAGGUACCGAGCUCACACCUACCAUCGAGGAAUAUCGCACUCUCGUUGGAAGAAUUGCAGCCACCCGCGGCAUUGUGGAACCUAACUUCCACACCACCCGACUUGUUUUGGUAUCGCGUCUACUCGAGGUGCAUAGGUCUCAACUACAAGUCGAACUUGCAUAUUCCGGUGGCACAGAGAUAGUCACCGCGAAACUCCUCCAUUUUAUUGAAAUACGAGCGCGCGAGGUUCAAGGGAUCUUUUACAAAAAAAAUUUAUCAUGCGAUCUUAUUCUUAAUUUUUGGGACUCUAUUGUUCCCUCGCUCGGCCGGUCACAUUGACGCAGCCUUAGCUAGCAUUGUCCUCCAAGUGGUUGGAGGCCUCGAGUACGAGGUGGCCUUGUUGGCCGAGACCAUACGGUCCCUUGAUCGCAUUACAAGAAAGACCGAUCGAAGGUUGAGAAGGUCCCUAAUCAUUUUGCAAAUUUGACUCCAAAGCCAUGCAAACCCCUUUGGCCUUA